rnacentral:rRNA from 1 species
UACGGAGGUGGCAGGCGUUACUCGGAUUGAUUGGGUGUAAAGGGCAUGUAGGCGGUGCGCUAAGUCGAAUGUGAAAUCCCUUGGCUUAACCAAGGAACUGCAUUCGAAACUGGCGUGCUUGAGUGUUGGAGAGGAAAGCGGAAUUCCCGGUGUAACAGUGAAAUGUGUAGAUAUCGGGAGGAACACCAGUGGCGAAGGCGGCUUUCUGGACAACUACUGACGCUGAAAUGCGAGAGCAUGGGGAGCAAACAGG